rnacentral:lncRNA from 1 species
AAAGAUUGGCCCAUGAACAAUCAGAGGCUGAAGUGGAAACUCCUGUCUUGUUAUCAUAGGAGCCAGGAUGUGGCCUGUGUGCUGCCCAGUCUUGCCUGGAACUGGCUGCACCUGCUGUUCUUCCAAGUAUGACUUAACCCUUGGUUACCCUAAUUCUGUAUUCUCCUGCCUCAGUGGGAGGUGAUUGGAUCAUGGGAACGGAUUUCCUCCUUGCUGUUCUCACGCUAGUGAGUGAGUUCUCACGAGAUCCGAGCAUUUAAUAGUGUGUGGCUCCUCCUGCUUCGCUCUCCUGCUGCCAUAGGAAGGUGUGCUUGCUACUCCUUUGCCUUCUGCCAUGAUUGUGAGUUUCCUGAGACCUCCUAGUCAUGCUUCCUGUUCAGCCUGCAGAACUAGGCUCUAGAACAGAGAUUGCACACACGGCCACACUUCUUAUGCUCAUACCCAUUACUGCAUCUAGAUGGAAGCAGACCUGGAAGAGGAAACACUGAACUAGACCAUAAGCUGCUCGGAAGCAAGCACCAUGCCUAUUGACCGUCAUGGCUCUGUCUCCAGGCUCAUGAAUGAAUGGUAACAGGGGCCAGGCGCAGUGGCUCACACCUGUAAUCCCAGCACGUUGGGAGGCCAAGGCAGGUGGAUCACCUGAGGUCAGGAGUUCAAGACCAGCCUGGCUAACAUGGUGAAACCCCA